GUUCGUUACUAAGCAUAAAAUCAAUGUCAGUUUCACUGCGUCUCCAGCUUGAGUGACGAGUGCAUUGCUGUUGAUCAGUGAUAUUCUCUGAGAAACUAUACACAUCAAUUUUAAUGUAUCGGUUGAGCAAGAUUCUCCUUGAAACUGACUUGGGAAGCUCUGCAUUCAAGAAAUACUUCUUUGGAGGUGAUGGCAUCUUUGAGAAUAUUUAGUGAAAGGAGAAAAUGUCUAGCACAAGACCAAUUGUCUAUCUCAAGAACAACUGUUUGUCUGGUUUUUUGUUUGUUUUUUGUUUUUGUUUUUAACAUUUAAAGUCUUACAGAAGACUAGUAUAUAAAAACCAAGGACACCACAAGAAAACCAAUGGAAUCAACUAAUCUGGGAUCAUAAGUGCUUACAGGGCUGAACUGACUACCAGAAAGCCUGCACUGGUCUGACCUAGGCCCUCUGCAUAUAUGUUACAGUUGUGUAUCUUGGCCUUUUAAUGGAACCCAUAACAGUGGGAGCAGGGGCAGAUUUCGGGAUCUUGAUCCUCCUACUUGGUUGCUCCAUCCAGCUUUAAUAGACGGGAGGUGCCUAGUCUUACUGAAACUUGGUAUGACAUGUUUGGCUGAUAACCAUUGGAGGAGGAGUGGAUGGUAGAGGAAGAGAGAAGAUGGGCAGGAGGAGCUGGGAGGAGAGGAGGGAGGACAUAAUGCAGACGGGAUGUAUUAUAUCAA
rnacentral:lncRNA from 1 species